rnacentral:tRNA from 1 species
AGACAACAAAAUGUUAAAUAUUAAUUUUGUCACCUUAGGUCGAUCGGUAUCUCACAUUCUUAAUUUAUUUAAGGAUUUUAUUUCCUAAGUUUUUUCUAGGUCACACCCAUUAUUUUUCCUGGGCCAUUAGCUCAGGUGGUUAGAGCGCACCCCUGAUAAGGGUGAGGUCCCUGGUUCAAGUCCAGGAUGGCCCAUAUCUCUAUGUUGGGGGUAUAGCUCAGUUGGUAGAGCGCCUGCUUUGCAAGCAGGAUGUCAGCGGUUCGAGUCCGCUUACCUCCACUGAUUACCACCUCUUCCAUAAAUUUAUUGAAGGGAAAUUUUUUAGGUGUGAUCAAAUUCUGAACGAAUCUAGCUUCCUAAUCAAACUUAUUAAGAUGCUGGACUCAUUGAAUUAUUUUCAUUGUUUUCAGAGAACCUUGACAACUGCAUAGAUUAUUUUUAAAGACAAUAAGCAUCUUUAAUGAUGCAGAUUUAUUAUUUGUGCGAAUGCAUUAAAUAACAAUUCUAUUAAGCUGAUGCUUCAAUUUUUUGAAGUUAUU